AGCGGGCUGUGUGGCAGCGCGUGGGAAUUUUCCCCGUGAGGAAAGUCCGGGCAUCACAGGACAGGAUAGCUGCUAACCGCAGCCGAAGGCGACUUCAGGGCAAGUGCAACAGAGAUAUACCGCCGCGGUUUUCCGCGGUAAGGGUGGAAAGGCGAGGUAAGAGCUCACCGCCGGCGCAGGAGACUGUUCCGGCCUGUAAACCCUAUCCGAUGCAACGCCGAACGCACGAAUCCGCUGGUCCGGCGGUCACCAGUGCAACGGGCGGCACCGAGCACACGCGGCGACGCGGUGCCAAGAUAGAUUGCCACACUCGACAGAACCCGGCUUACAGGCCCGCUCGUU
rnacentral:RNase_P_RNA from 1 species